GACGAACGCUGGCGGCGUGCUUAACACAUGCAAGUCGAACGGAAAGGCCCUGCUUUUGUGGGGUGCUCGAGUGGCGAACGGGUGAGUAACACGUGAGUAACCUGCCCUUGACUGUGGGAUAACUUCAGGAAACUGGGGCUAAUACCGGAUAGGAGCUCCUGCUGCAUGGUGGGGGUUGGAAAGUUUCGGCGGUUGGGGAUGGACUCGCGGCUUAUCAGCUUGUUGGUGGGGUAGUGGCUUACCAAGGCUUUGACGGGUAGCCGGCCUGAGAGGGUGACCGGCCACAUUGGGACUGAGAUACGGCCCAGAAUCGUACGGGAGGCAGCAGUGGGGAAUAUUGCACAAUGGGCGGAAGCCUGAUGCAGCAACGCCGCGUGCGGGAUGCCGUCCUUCGGGUUGUAAACCGCUUUCGCCUGUGACGAAGCGUGAGUGACGGUAAUGGGUAAAGAAGCACCGGCUAACUACGUG
rnacentral:rRNA from 1 species